rnacentral:misc_RNA from 1 species
GCAAACUUGGUCAUUUAGAGGAAGUACAAGUCGUAACAAGGUAUCCGUAGGUGAACCUGCGGAUGGAUCAUUACCAAAGGAUUCAUUUCCAACGUUCUGUGAACUGUUUUGAAUUUACAGUCAGUGUUUUGUUUAAUUUUUCAGUAGCGGUAGGGCAACCUUCACUACAGUAAGGUGAAACAAGCACUGGCCGUACUAUAUAAACGUAUUCUUAAACUGAAGUCUACUUUAGUAUAAACUAAAGACAACUUUUAGCAACGGAUCUCUUGGCUCUCGCAUCGAUGAAGAACGCAGC